rnacentral:misc_RNA from 1 species
GAUGAAGAACGCAGUGAAAUGCGAUAAGUAAUGUGAAUUGCAGAAUUCAGUGAAUCAUCGAAUCUUUGAACGCACAUUGCGCCCUCUGGUAUUCCGGGGGGCAUGCCUGUUCGAGCGUCAUUAUAACCACUCAAGCUCUCGCUUGGUAUUGGGGUUCGCGGUUUCGCGGCCCCUAAAAUCAGUGGCGGUGCCUGUCGGCUCUACGCGUAGUAAUACUUCUCGCGAUUGAGUUCGAUAGGUCUACUUGCCAGUAACCCCCAAUUUUUACAGGUUGACCUCGGAUCAGGUAGGGAUACCCGCUGAACUUAAGCAUAUCAAUAAGCGGAGGA